CUAAUAAUAACAAUCAUGACAAUCACAGGUCAAAUACGGCCUUUUACACAGGGCUUUGAUCCAGACCAAACAGCAAGCUUUAAGGGACCCCACACUUAUUGGUGUACACAAUUCGAACAGGAAAACCAACUAUCUAAUGUAUAUAUCCAAACGAGAAAAUACCAAUGAACCACAUCUACAAACGAUAACUGCUGAACGACAGGCCCCUAAAUCAAUCAGGACAGGUACAUAAACAUGCAGCGGCUGUGUAUAGUUUUGUUUCUCCAGCAUACAAUAUAAUCGCAGGUGAAGGCAAAUCCUUCAGAAGUUCUUUUUACUUUAUUUUAACAACGAACAUCUUUUGAUAGGGAAUAUAAGUAAGGGGGAAAGAAACCAAUGUUUUGUUCUGUACAGGUAUUUCCGCUUAUAUAUUUAUAUUGGAGCACUCUCACGUUUCAUGCUGAAACAAAUAUUUUCACAGAUAUUUACACAGUGUUAUGGGGUGCUUAUAGGUUUAAAAUCGUUAUUAACAGGUUUAGAAUGUGAUUUUAAAAAACAAAUGUUGAUUUUAUAAUAUUUACAAAAAAAAAACGGUGCGGGAAAUGGACAAGAUUACAUUUCCGGAUGCGGGAAGCGGGAAUAUAAAAAAAAUAAAAAAAUUCUGUUUUGAAAAAAAUAGGUGCGGGCGGGUCCGUCGAACAAGUAAUCAAAUUGGCGUGGCCUUAACUACAAA
rnacentral:lncRNA from 1 species